ensembl:lncRNA
GUUUGUUUGUGGGCCUUUCUGUCCAAAGUUUAGUCUUCGACAAGUGAAAUGCAUGCUCAGUUGGGUUAAGAUCAGGUGACUCACUUGGCCGUUCAAUAAUAUUCAACUUCUUUGCUUUAAUAAACUCCUUGGUUUCUACGGCUGCAUGUUUUGGGUCGUUGUCCAUCUGUAUUAUGAAACACCGCCCAAUCAGUUUGACUGCAUUUGAGCAGACAGUAUGUCUCUGAACACCUCAGAGUUCACUCGGCUGCUUCUGUCCUGUGUCACAUCAUCAGUAAACACUAGUGUCCCAGCGCCACCUGCAGCCAUGCAUGCUCAAGCCAUCGCACUGCCUCCACCGUGUUUUACAGAUGAUGUGGCAUGCUUUGGAUCAUGAGCUGUUCCACGACUUCUCCAUACUUUUUUCUUGUCAUCGUUCUGGUGGAGGUUGAUCUUGGUUUCAUCUGUCCAAAAUGUUUUUCCAGAACUGUGCUGGCUUUUUUUUUUAAAGAUUUUUUUUUUAGUCCAAUCUAGCCUUUCUAUUCUUGAGGCUUAUGCAUUGCUUGCAUCUUGCAGUCAACUCUUUGUAUUUACUUUCAUGCAGUCUUCUCUUUAUGGUAGACUUGGAUAUGGAUACAUCUACCUCCUGGAGAGUGUCGUUCACUUUGGCUGUUGUGAAGGGGUUUCUCAUCACUAUGGAAAUGAUUCUGCGAUCAUCCACCACUGUUGUCUUCAGUGGAGUCCACCAGUGCUUUCUUUCUUUCUUGGGAUGUAACAAACUGUAAAUUUUGCCACCCCUAAUAUUGUAGUAUUUUCUCAGAUGUUUUUUUUUCUGUUUUCACAGAUUAAGGAUGGCUCGUUUCAUCUGCAUGAAGAGCUCCUUUGACUGCAUGUUGCCUAUUCACAGCAAAAUCUUCCACAUGCAAGCACCACACCUUAAAUGAGCUCCAGGGCUUUUAUCUGCUUAAUUGUAACAAAUGAAUUACCUACACCUGCCCAUGAAAUAGCCUUUGAGUCAAUUUUCCAAUUACUUUUGCACCCUUUAAAAAGAGGGUGGCACAUGCUAAGGAGCUGAAACUCCUAAACCCUUCUUUUAAUUUGAAUGUGGAUACCCUCAAAUGAAAGCUGAGAGUCUACACAUUAUGUCCAAGCUUAUUAUAUAACUAUAACAGGAAUCUGUUUCAGUAAACAGGUAAAAAACAAACUGUAUAUAUCCAACUUGGUUGGAAUCUUUUAGUUGGAGAGGUUGACGGAUCUAGGACUCAGCUCAUCACUG